CGAAUACAUUAGCAUGGGAUAAUGGAAUAGGACCCUGUCCUCCUAUUUUCAGUUGGUUUUGGCAGCGCGAGGACUAGGGUAAUGAUUAAUAGGGAUAGUUGGGGGCAUUAAUAUUUAAUUGUCAGAGGUGAAAUUCUUGGAUUUAUGAAAGAUUAACUUCUGCGAAAGCAUCUGCCAAGGAUGUUUUCAUUAAUCAAGAACGAAAGUUAGGGGAUCGAAGACGAUCAGAUACCGUCGUAGUCUUAACCAUAAACGAUGCCGACCAGCGAUUAGGAGACGUUGAAUACAAAACACCACCAUCGGUUGCGGUCGUCCUUGGCGUCUCGGUUUCGGCCGGGGCGCGGGGACGGUUUAGCCCGGUGGCACCGGUGAAUGACUCCCCUAGCAGCUUGUGA
rnacentral:rRNA from 1 species